GCCGGUCCUCGGUAGUGGCCCCCGGAACGGUGCGGCGAACGCCGCCCGCGGCCCACGCCGCCGCCCCGGGAGCUUCGAUCGAAGACCGGC
rfam:Streptomyces niveus NCIMB 11891 chromosome, whole genome shotgun sequence.